rnacentral:lncRNA from 1 species
CAUUCCACUGUGCCCCAACCAUGCUGAACAGAAGCAGCUGGCGGUCUGAAUCCCUGCAGAAAUGGUGUCAGAAGGACUGAGCCCCACCCGACAUCAAUGAGAAUGCAUAAGUGCUACAGGCUGGAACUAGGAAACACCCCACUUCCCCCACAUAACUCCUUUGAAAGAGACCUCCGUCUGCAGCCAUGCUGGGGCCUCGCCCUCUGCUGUGCCUUUCACAUGGCAUCACCUCUGCGGCAGCAUGUUCCAGGGAUGCAGGAACAAUGGACCACAACAGAAUGGCUCGUACAGCCGAGAUGUCUUCCCUCAAGUUCUGGAGGCUAAACAUCCAACAUGGCAGUGUCGGCAGGGCAGGACCACGCUCCCUCUGAAACCUCCAGGGCCAGGAGCCUUCCUUCCCUCCUCCAGCUUCUGGUGGCCCCAGACAUCCCUUGGCUUGUGGCAGCUUCACUCCAAUCCCCACAUGGCCUUCUCCCUGUGUCUCUUCACGUUGUCUUCCCUCCGUGCAUGUCUUCGUGUCUAAAUUUCCCCUUUUUAUAAUGACUCUGGUCCUAUGGACCAGGGCCCAGCCUAACGACCUCAUCCUAACUUGACUAUGUCUGCAGAUCAGGUUGCAUUCACAGGUACUGAAGUUUAGGACAUCAACAUAUUGUUUUUAAGGGACACAUUUCAACCCAUACCACCUAAUGCCCAGUAAACGAUGCUAUUUCUCCCAUAGCUAAGAAAUCCAUGGGUUUGGGGAUGAGGAAAGUGACUGGGAGAGGUUUCUUUUCCCAUGACCUCAGAUCAUACAUGAGCAAAACAUGUGCAUUUUGUCCUCCUGAUUCUGGGCUCUGUAGGCUUAAUGGUUUCAGCUCCCAAGGAAGAUGUGUGUACCAGGGAGACAGCAAAGGCCCAUUGACCUGGAAGCUGAGCCUGGCCAUCCAGCGCCUUUGGUUCCUCCAUGCCUCUGACCCCAUAGGCAGUGGGGGGCUCUUGUGCUGGCUGGGAUGACUGCUCCUGACCAAGAGGAGGCCCAGAGGCCGCCAUGGGGGCAGGAAGGAGUGUACCCGAAGCCCAGGGUCCUGCAGCGCACUGUGGGGCCCUGGGUCCACUGGAAGUGUUAGUGGACAACUAUAUACAACCAACUGGGGCAAGGCCACUAACGACCCAGGCCCUUUGGAGAUAAAGGUUUAGGUCCCUUCACCUUGCACAGAUCUACAGCUAGUUGAGGACCCAGGUGAAGGCAGAGAGGACAUGGGUUAAUGGAAGAAAGAAGGUAUGAAAACCUACGGUGUUAAAUAACCAGGUGCAGAAACAAGGCUCACAGGAGCGAACCCUGCCGUGGAAGAGAAGACGCCCACUCACCUGUGAUUCAAACAUUGCUUUGUUUCCCCUGCUUCCCGCCUUUCUUGGCACCCAAUGUAAGGUACUGUCAUGGUGUUGACCCUACACAUCAGGAUUUAAUUACAGAAUGUCAGAGAAGGGCUGUGUCAGAACCCAAGAAAUAACCUCCCCUAAAGAUAGACACUGUGGGUUUUGUUGUCUCCCUCUUCAGAGACUGAGUGUGAAUUUGGAGUCAUAGGUUCAGCUGUGUCUUGUGGGACCUAAGUUUGAAAUGCUCUCCCCUCUACCUGGAUGUUCAGGGCAGGCAAAGGGGUGGCCCAGGCACUCAGAUGACCAAGUAGUGGUCACUGCCAGGCGCCCGACGGUCACUCCAUCACCACCGUCUUUCCUCUCCAAGGGACAACAGACUGCAGGAGCUAUGCCUCCCAGAAUCACCUCCCCUGUGGGUGAGGAUUUGGUGAUGAUCUGGAUGCCUGUGAGGCUGGAGGAAGAGGAGCAGGACCGUGACUCUCAGAGGAGCCACAGCCCUGCAUACAGGCAGGUGUGGGACCCACAGUUUCUCCAUGGGCACGUGGACACUCUCCUUGCUUUUUUCACUUCCAGGGGAGCGUUGAGGCAACACCCACCAUACCCUUGGGCUGCAGGGCGCAGCUCUCCUGAACUCUGCGGUGACAUUCCUGAGCCAUGUUCCUUCGGCUUCCCAAUGUCCAUGUGAGUCCCCAGUCACCUCUCAGUUUCCCAUGGAGGGACCUGGUUUCCUGACCAGCCCUGCGUGGACACCACCCCUUUCACUGUGCACCCCCCUGCUACAGAGAGGACCCUCUCUGGUUUGUCUUUGCUGUGUGUUUCUGCCUCCUCUGAGCUUCUGGAAGUCAGGGCCUACACUCCACACAUCUCUGGGUGACUGGUGUCUCCGGUGAGGCCACCCAGGCGCAGUGGGUGGAUGCUGGGCGGUGCUCGCCUUAUGUGAUCUGAUCUGCCCCUCCCAGGGCCUUGAGGCCACACUGCUCAGAUUUCGCCUGCCACAGAGGAGGCUUCUGGGCUGACUGAAAGCCACCCUGACAGGGAGAGAAGACACAGAGGAUCCUGGGACCCCGCCUUGGGACGGGCAGCCUGCAGCACCUUCCCGUAGCCGCUGUCAUGAAGUGCCACCAUUGAGUGGUUGAAGCACCAGAAAGCGAUUGUCUCACGGUUUGGAGGCUGGACGUUCAACACAAAGGCGUGGUUCCCGGGGAAAAUGCUCCCCAGCUCCUGGGCAUGGGGGUGCCUGCAUUCUCUGGAACCCUUGGCUCAUAGUCGCUUCACUCCGGUCUCUGCCACUGGCUUCACCUGGCCGUCGUUCCUGCGUCUUCUCUGUUUAAAUUUCUCUCUUCUAAGGAUGUCAGUCGCUGGAUUAGGGCUCAUCCUCCUCCACUAGGACCUUUUCUUGACUCCACUUCAUCUCCGCAGACCCUAUUUUUAAAUAAGGUCACAUGGCAGGUACUAGGGCUUUGAACUUGAGCUUAUCUUUUUGGGAGACGCAGCUCAACCCGUAACACCUUCCACAGCCGUGACUGUUGAUCUAAGUCUUGACAAUGGAGCAGGGUUUAUCCAGGUGGGCAGUGCAGAAAGGGGGCCUCGAGUUACAGCAUGGGCACACACGCAUCCUGGGGCAGCUGCCAGGACACGCACAGAGGGCUGGAGCAGAGUGCAGGAGAUGGGCUCCUGGCUCUGUACUGGGCACACAGCAAU